rnacentral:lncRNA from 1 species
GAAAAAAAUACGAACCAAGAGGAGCAACUGAUAUUACUAUAGUAAGAAAUUUUACACCGUAGUCACAAAUACAGUACUCAAAGGUGACUACCACACACUCAAAAGAAAUAACCCUCUUUUGAAUCCACCUUACUAAAACACACACACUCAAAAGAAAUAACCUUCUUUUGAAUCCACCUUACUAAAACACCUAAAAGAAAUUUUACACUGUAGUCACAAAUAGACUACCACCUUACUAAAAAUAUUGCUCACUCUAAAUUUUCCAUCACAGACUAAUUUUAUCCCAAUCUGUGAAAUACCUCAUCGCUCUCCAUUGUUUUUC